CCAAGUCUCUGGAUAAUCCUUCACAGUCUGCAAAAAAUACUGAGCACAAGCAAAAUUGAAUAAAUAAAAGAAAUAACAAUAACAAUAUAGUCUUUCUUCAGUCCAGUUGUGAAUAAUGAAGGUCAGUUAUAAUAAAACAGUUUGCCUGAUGGUGCUGUUUAUUGGGGCAGCUGCGCUUUAUAUGUAUAGUGUGAGUUUUGAGCAAAAUGGAAUGAAGGCAUUUCUUGGAGAAAUUCAAUUACUUUUAAAGCAAAAUAAAGAACUGAUGAAUGAGCUGAAAAUUAGACAAGAACACUCUGCAAAGGAACAGAAUAAAGAAGUCAAGGAAACUCCAAAUAUGAAGGCAAAGAAAAAUACUAAGAAGCUGUUCCCCAAUUCACCACUAUUUAAGGAGUGGGGAGAUGAGCUGUCUGAGGAAGAACAAAGGGAGGCAGAAAACUUGUUUCAACAAUAUGGAUACAACGUUUUUCUAAGUGACAGGCUCCCUCUCAACAGGGACAUCCCAGACACCAGAGACCCCAGAUGUGCAAACAAAAAAUAUCCAGAGGACCUUCCAACAUUGAGUGUGGUUCUUAUUUAUCUGAAUGAAGCACUCUCCAUCCUGAAGCGUGCCAUAAGGAGCAUCAUUGACAGGACGCCUCCACAUCUUUUGAAAGAGAUCAUUUUAGUAGAUGACUACAGCACAAAUGAGGAUCUGCAAGAAAAACUACAAGACUAUAUUAAGCUAAUAAAUGAGCAACACCCUGGGCUGAUUAAACAGGUUAAACACGCAGAACAGAUGGGGCUGACCCAAGCACGAAUUUCUGGAUGGAAAGCAGCUACAGGAGAUGUUGUUGCUAUCUUGGAUGCCCAUAUAGAAGUUCAAGCAGAAUGGGCUCAGCCAGUUCUUGCCAGGAUUAAGGAAGAUCGCACCGUGAUUGUGUCACCAGUCUUUGACAGGGUGAACUUUGACACCUUAAAAUUAGUCAAGUAUGCUACUGCAGCUCAUGCAUUUGACUGGGCAUUAUGGUGCAUGUAUGAGUCAUUUUUGCCAGAGUGGUACAAACAAAAUGAUGCAUCCCUUCCAGGAAAGUCUCCCUCUAUUAUGGGCAUUCUUUUUGCAGACAGAUUAUUUUUUGGAGAAAUUGGUGCAUUAGAUGAUGGUAUGAAAAUCUAUGGUGGAGAAAAUGUCGAGUUGGGCAUUCGAGUCUGGCUUUGUGGGGGCAGUGUGGAGGUAGUGCCAUGCACCCGAAUUGCCCACAUAGAAAGAGCUCACAAACCGUACCUCCCAGACCUGAGUGUCACAAUGAAGAGAAAUGCUCUGAGGGUGGCCGAAGUUUGGAUGGAUGAAUAUAAAACAAAUGUACUUGUUGGCUGGAGUCUCCCAAUAAAGGAUCACGGUCUUGACAUUGGUGACAUUUCAGCAAGAAAGAAGCUCAGAGAAAAGUUGCAGUGCAAGCCCUUUAAGUGGUAUUUGGAUAAUGUAUAUCCUCAGCUUGAUUCCUGGGAAGAUCUUCUUGCAUAUGGAGCUCUCAAGAAUACUUUGGAUGAAGAACUUUGUGUUGACCAAGGAGCAGUUCCGGGAAGUGUACCCAUACUGUAUGGAUGUCAUUACUAUACCCCACAGAAUACAUACUAUCGUAGGAAUGGUGAGCUUUAUAUUGGAGGAAUAAAAUCACAUAAAUACAACAAUAACCGCUGUUUAGUAGAUACUGGGAACAGUAACACCCCAGCUUUACAUGACUGCAAAACAUCAAAGGAAAAAGGCUUUAACAUGCUCUGGGACUUCAAACAGGGACAAGAACUUAAAAACAGGGGAACAAAGAGAUGUCUGGAAAUUACAAAGCAUGACUACUACCAUUUAGUUAUUCAAGAAUGCACGGGACAGGUCUGGAAAAUGCAGCAUGUUAUCCAUGAGUUUUAGCAAGAGUUGGAUUAGUGGAAAUAAAAUAAAAGCGCUGUUCAUGGCUGUGGCUCAGGACAAAAGAAUAACCAAGAGGUGAUGAUUGCCUGUAAUUUAACCAACUAUCAACAAAACCGGAUAUUUAAGCAAUACUAAAAGACAGAGAAUGCUGAAACAUUUCUACACAAAUGGGCUGAACAAUUUAAUAUACCUCCACCAAACAGACAAACAAUUUACAGAAAAUGUGGUAAACUCAACAAAACUGGGUCCAUCUGUAAUGCUUCUAAAAGUGGUCACCCGGUGAGUGUUAACAAAGAGAAAAAAGACUUGUUAGUGAUUCUGGCAUUUGCACAAUGCCCAACAAAAUAAAAAAAAAGAGCUCCCUUUGAGUUUGGCAUUUCCCGUAGAUCUUUGGGUCUUCUAGUGCAACAUUUACAUUUGAAAAUGAAUCGGCCAAGAUUGACUCAUGGGUUAUUAGAGAAUAAUCUGGAUCGCUUUUUUACAGUUCUGCGAAGUGGAAUGGUGAAAGAUUGGGCAAUGGCAUCAUUGAUAAAAUUACAUGGUCCGACGAAGCUCAAUUUAAACUUUCAGGUUCUGUAAUUGCCACAACUGUGUCUGCCAUUUCACAAAAAAUCCCCAUGUAGUAAUAGAAGAACAGUUGAAUCAGCCGGGGGUUACAGUUUGGUCAGUGUGGUAUAGCGGGUCCAUGGCUUAAAAGAAAAAGCCAGCUGAGGUUGAAAAGGAGAAAAGGGAGAAGGCAGGAGAAGGAACUGGUAUAGGAGCGAGCAAGCGAGCACAGGCUCGCUGUACUAAUAAUAGACAGCUGUGAAGUGAGCCCUAGAGUGGUGUUUGGCCGGCAACCAGGAACAGAUAGAUUGGGUCAUUCCUGCUGAGUUUUGCAGAGGAGCAGGAGUGACCACACUCGAGGACGGUUUGCUGCGUAAGGCUGCAGAAGGCAGCGAGAGUCAGAGGCUUGGAAGGUGGAAGCCCCAGUGUGAGUGUCCUGGUUGCUGGGGAACCCAAGUCUUGGUUUGGCGAGAGCCCUACAGAGCCAGGGAUCGAAAGGCUACCAGACCAGAAGGAGAAGGUCAGCUGCAGGUUGGGCGACCCGGAUGGGAGAAGCCGGGGAGCUGCCAGCUAAAGAAGGCACCAGAUUUUUAAAGGACUGCUUCCAGCCAUUAUUGUUGUUUUAACCUCAGUUUAAAAUGGAAUAUGUAUUGUACUAUUUUAACCUCCACAUUUCAUCCUGGUUUUAUGGAUUUUUUAUUUAUUGAAACAUUUUGAAGCACUGCACUGGACACAGUUUUGGUUUGACUGUUUUUAAUAAAAGCACUGUUUGCAGUUUGCAUCUUCCCC